rnacentral:rRNA from 1 species
GACGUAGGGCGCGAGCGUUGUCCGGAUUUAUUGGGCGUAAAGAGCUCGUAGGCGGCUCGUUGCGUCGGCUGUGAAAACCCGCAGCUCAACUGUGGGCUUGCAGCCGAUACGGGCGGGCUGGAGUUCGGUAGGGGAGACUGGAAUUCCUGGUGUAGCGGUGAAAAUGCGCAGAUAUCAGGAGGAACACCAGUGGCGAAAGCGGCUCUCUGGGACGGUACUGACGCUGAGACGCGAAAGCGUGGGGAGCAAACAGG